rnacentral:rRNA from 1 species
UACGUAGGGUGCGAGCGUUAAUCGGAAUUACUGGGCGGAAAGUGUGCGCAGGCGGCCGCGCAAGUCGAGUGUGAAAGCCCCGGGCUUAACUUGGGAAUUGCGCUCGAAACUACGUGGCUAGAGUGUGGCAGAGGGAGGUGGAAUUCCACGUGUAGCGGUGAAAUGCGUAGAGAUGUGGAGGAACACCGAUGGCGAAGGCAGCCUCCUGGGCCAACACUGACGCUCAUGCACGAAAGCGUGGGGAGCAAACAGG